UACGUAGGGUGCAAGCGUUGUCCGGAAUUACUGGGCGUAAAGCGUGCGCAGGCGGUUGUGCAAGACAGAUGUGAAAUCCCCGGGCUUAACCUGGGAAUUGCAUUUGUGACUGCGCGGCUAGAGUGUAUCAGAGGGGGGUAGAAUUCCACGUGUAGCAGUGAAAUGCGUAGAUAUGUGGAGGAAUACCGAUGGCGAAGGCAGCCCCCUGGGAUAACACUGACGCUCAUGCACGAAAGCGUGGGGAGCAAACAGG
rnacentral:rRNA from 1 species